rnacentral:rRNA from 1 species
AGAUUGAACGCUGGCGGCAGGCCUAACACAUGCAAGUCGAGCGGCAGCACGGGUACUUGUACCUGGUGGCGAGCGGCGGACGGGUGAGUAAUGCCUAGGAAUCUGCCUGGUAGUGGGGGAUAACGCUCGGAAACGGACGCUAAUACCGCAUACGUCCUACGGGAGAAAGCAGGGGACCUUCGGGCCUUGCGCUAUCAGAUGAGCCUAGGUCGGAUUAGCUAGUUGGUGAGGUAAUGGCUCACCAAGGCGACGAUCCGUAACUGGUCUGAGAGGAUGAUCAGUCACACUGGAACUGAGACACGGUCCAGACUCCUACGGGAGGCAGCAGUGGGGAAUAUUGGACAAUGGGCGAAAGCCUGAUCCAGCCAUGCCGCGUGUGUGAAGAAGGUCUUCGGAUUGUAAAGCACUUUAAGUUGGAGAAGGCAGUUACCUAAUACGUAUCUGUUUUGACGUUACCGACAGAAUAAGCACCGGCUAAACUCUGUG